rnacentral:lncRNA from 1 species
GACUUUGGCGGCUUCGAGCCUCUCAGGAUGCAGAAACCUGGUUUCUACGAGCCCCAGACGGACGGAGCCGGAGCCCAGGACUCUCGGUACAUGCGGGUGCGGGGCCCCUACAUGGCCCGGGGCCCCGGCCAGAUCACGGUGCCCGGCGGGGGCAUGGUGUUCCUGUUCGGGGAGGAGGACCGAGACGGGAUGGUGACGGUCAUAUACGAUGGACAGCGAGGACUCCUCCCUGUUUCCAUGCUCGAGCCUGCAGACAUGAAGACGCCCAAAAGCAAGAAGGACAAAGUAAGGCCUUGUUUACACCACCCUGGUUCAGAUGAAAUUUUUUUUUUUUGUUUGUUUGUUUUUUUUUUCAUUUCCAUAAAGGUUUGU